rnacentral:rRNA from 1 species
UGGGGAAUAUUGCGCAAUGGGGGAACCCUGACGCAGCAACGCCGCGUGAUUGAAGAAGGUCUUCGGAUUGUAAAAAUCUUUUAUCAAGGACGAAGAAGUGACGGUACUUGAUGAAUAAGCUCCGGCUAACUACGUGCCAGCAGCCGCGGUAAUACGUAGGGAGCAAGCGUUAUCCGGAUUUACUGGGUGUAAAGGGCGAGUAGGCGGAUUGGCAAGUUGGGAGUGAAAUGUCGGGGCUUAACCCCGGAACUGCUUCCAAAAACUGUUGAUCUUGAGUGAUGGAGAGGCAGGCGGAAUUCCCGGUGUAGCGGUGGAAUGCGUAGAUAUCGGGAGGAACACCAGUGGCGAAGGCGGCCUACUGGGCACCAACUGACGCUGAGGCUCGAAAGUAUGGGUAGCAAACAGGAUUAGAUACCCUGGUAGU